AAAAAGUAAUUUAUUGGUGAAAUCAUAUUUUAGAGUUUGGUUCAUAUCAAAUUCAUUUUAGAGAUUUUUUUUGCCUAUAAAAUACUCAUUUUAUAAUUUAUAGGAAUCUAUAAGCUUAUCCGCUUAGUCACGGAGGAUUGAUCACAAAAUUAAUCAAACUAGUGUUUUCCUUGAUCAACUUUGGUUUAUAUCUAAUUCGUUCAAAUCUUUUUUUAAGGCAUAUGUUAUAAGGUCAUUUAUUAGAAGUAUGGGAACAAUGGCUCGUAAGUUCGUUGAGUCUCUUAUUAGAUUGACACUAAAAAGAGGGCCAAAUUUUUCCUUACCCACAUAUUCUUUUUAGAGCUCAUGAAUUUUGAAAUGACAAAAUCGUGCAAAUAUGUCCAUCGUCCAAAGCGGAUAAUUCCUCGUAAGCCUAUGGUCUGCACCAACGAUCGAUCGAUCAAAUGAUCCCUUAUCAUAUUAUCGUUUGAAGAAGGGUCCAAGGCCUGCAUGCCAGCUAUGAGCUCAAAUCGUGCAGGUACACCCAUCGCCCAUAGUAGAUAAUUCAUCGUGAGCCUACGAGUUGCAUUAAUGAUCAACUGAUCAAAUGAUCCCUUACCCUCAGAGACACCUUUUAGAGCUCGUAAACUCUAAAAGGAUAAAAUCAUACAGGUAUGCUCGUUAGAAAUUAUCAGUUUUGGGCGAUGAGGCCUUUUCUCGUCUCUUCCAUCGGUUCUCGUGAUGGUUCAUUCAUUGAAAUUAGUUGUGGUCACAAUGGAUUCAAUCUCGAGUUGUAUAUAUGUUAGUAGAAAAUUAAUCAAAUAAAUAAUACUAUUGGUUUAUUUAGGUUUAAAACUAACUAUUUAACCACUAUAUCACAAGCAUUAUGAAUAUUAAUUUUUUUUUUCUAAUUUUUCAUAUAGAAU
rnacentral:lncRNA from 1 species